AAUGGGCUUGCUAUGCCAAUGUAUUGGCAAGGUUAUUAUGCCCCUCCAAAUGGGCUCCCUCAUUUACACCAGCAAUCUUUGCUUCGACCGCCACCUGGGCUAUCAAUGCCUCCUCCCAUACAGCAACCAAUGCAGUAUUCCAGUUACAAUGCACCUUUGCAUACUGGAGCUCCGAACUUGCCAGGUCCAAACUUGCCAACUUCCAACCUACCAGUUCCAAACUUGCCGACUUCCAACCUACCAGCUUCAAACUUGCCGACUACCAACCUACCAGCUUCAAACUUGCCGACUACCAACCUACUAGCUUCAAACUUGCCAGUUCCCUUACCCGAUAUUUCAUCUCCUUUGCUUUCUGCUAGUACUGGUUCCCUUAAUUUAGCAUCCACUUCUUCAGCACCAUCAACUUUGCCUGCAACUUUA
rnacentral:lncRNA from 1 species